CUAUUUGUAGCCUAUACUUACCAAAGGUACAGCUUUGAAAAAGCUAAGAAGAGAAAAUUCUCCAAAGACA
rnacentral:tRNA from 1 species